rnacentral:lncRNA from 1 species
UCAGAAUCCAAUCUGGGCAAGGUUUUAACAAACCACUAGAGAGAGUAGAAGAGACAUGACCACUACCCAGUUCCUGACAACUAAUACGUGCUUCGGUCAAACGAACUGCUGUCUGCUGGAACUAACACCGAGCUGGUCCGAGAAAUGGAACCUCGAGAAGAUCCAGACCAAUAGCCUGCAGCUGUUAGAAGGGAAGUGAGCUUGAAUGGUGAAUCCAGGCCCAAGAUCGAAAGGCUUGGAAUGGGUCACGACUAGUUACUGGUGUAGGAUGCUAAUUGCUAAACAAUCUUGCAACUCCACCAUGGAUCCGAUAAAAGUGAGCUUUUUUUUAUUUUCUUAUUCUUUAUUAUCUUGCCAUUUAAAUUACCUUAAGAGCAAAACCCCGAAACUAGAGCUGAGAUUUUCGAGCUUUGCAAGUCGACAUCCUUUGAAAAAAGAAGAAUUUUUUAAUUUUUUAAAGGAUUACUUAUUAUUUGAGCUUGAAGAUAUCUUAUUAUCAUAAAGGAGACCAAAGCAGUACUGUUAGUGCCCAAUCCAGACUGUCAUAGUAAUAUUACUCACGUGCUUAACUAUUAAUUGUGGUUUGUAUGGCCUCGAUGUAUGUAAGAAACUAUACAUGUAGCAAAAAUAAUAUAUAUAUUUUUAUUGAAAAUAUAUUAAAAUAAUAUUAUUUUUAGAUUUUUUUAUUUUUAAUAUAUUAAAACCAUAAAAAAUAGCUAACAGAAAUCAAUUUAAUAAUUUUCAGACAAAAAAUAAUUUAAAUAACAUUUAAAAAAUAUAUAUUUAACCACAAAAACAAAAUACUCCAACCCCGGAAAAUAUAUAGACCUGAUUACUAUGAGCAGCACCCACUGUAUCGUGGAAGAGUAUUUAAAGCCCAUUUUAAAAAGAGUCUAAAAUAUUAAAAACGGUGUAAUUCCCAUAUCACACCGAAGUCUCUAAUCUCAUGGAACGAUAAAACUAGCCUUUAUUGUGCCUGGCCAUCUUUAAUUAUAAUUAAAAUUUCAGCGUAUCAGCUCAAACAUCGUGAAUCCAACAAUUCACCAGUAAUACGCGCUGUCUUUUAAUAAAAAAAUAAUUCUAUGUUUUAGUUAGCUAAAUUAACUAUGAAACUCAUCGUACUGAUUUUUAUUUUUCUGUAAUAGAUAAAGUUUAUUUUAUAAAUAAAUCAGUAUAAUAAUUCCUUUGUAGACAUAAAAAUUCUAUUCCACGUAUAUUUAUCUCCCUCUACAAGGUAAAGGCAAGUUAAGUUGACAGUAUUUCCGUUUCAUUAAUGUCGUAGGAUGAAAAUAUUUUUUAUUUUUAACUAGAAAAUAUAUAUCCCGUGGAGAAGUGUGGAUGAGUGAGUUAAUCUUUCAAUCAAUCAAUUUUAUGGAUAUGAAGAAAAACCAGAACUUCAAUUUCAUAAUAUUCUAUAAAAUCAACCCAGGACUUCUCGUAGUUUUAUAUACUAUUGAAUUGUUUAUCUUUAAAUUCUAGUGUUUAAUUUGUUUCUACCGUUCAUUAACAUUUUGAAAAUUUUCCCGGCCUCAUGCCAGGCCUCAGGCCUCACAGCCAACAGGCCACCUCUUUCUUACCCAUAAAAAAUGAUAUUCUCUUCAUAGCACUACGAGGCCCGUUUUUCUGGGUCUUCUGCAAUGAAUACAUGUGCUCCGAACCAGCGCUGCCGACGUGUCCUCAACUGAAUUCUUACCAUCCUUGUGCGAUGGACGAUUAACAAUCGCAACCUGUUCCUGAAAAAACUAAACAAAAAAAAGUUAAACUUUUUAAAUAAUACAUUGUUAAUUGGCUGAUCUUACCAUCUUUUUAUAUUUUGAAAAUUGCACCUCACACCCUCUAAAUAUGAUCAUGGUCUUCGAUUUAAUUUUUCACUUAAACGAAGGUAUUAUGAUUUUUUUUGGCAUUUGAUUUGAUUACAAAGACUAACUUCGUUUGACUACUUUUAAUUUUGUAUGAAAUAUUUAAUGUAACUUCAAAACACGUAACGCAUGUAAAACAUAAGUUUUUAAUACAAGAGCGUUCUUACUUCUUAUAUAUAUAAACAAAUCAUACAAAAUUGUGUAUAUAUUAAAUAAAUUAUAUAAAUUUUUCACACAAACUAAUCCGGUGAUCGAUUAAUUUCUUUAUGCUCAAUCAAUUAUUUAAUAAUUGCAACACACAUAAUCCAUCAUUCAUCGUAUAUUUUAUAGAGUGACUGUGGCUUGUUCUUAAGCAUAUCACUUUUCCCAAUACAAUAAGAUACAUAGAAAGUGUAACCCGACGUAAAGUUAAUACAAGCUUUAAAAAGAUUUGUUGUCCGUGUGCUCUCAUGACAUGUAGUAAGAGCCAAUGAUCUUAAGUGACCGAGAUAAAUUUAGAGCAAAAAAAAUUUAUUAUUUUUAUAGUUUUAAUAUCGUCAGUUUUGUGGUUGUUAAUACAAUGAUUAUUAAAAAUUUAUAUAAUUAUUAAUUUUAAAAAUCUAUAAAAUUAGUCAAAAUACAUAUAAAAUGAUCUAAAUACCAAUAUUAAUAAAAAAAAAAAAGCCAAUGAUUUUUUUUACCAUUUAUAUAUCCCUGAAUUAAACUUUCGGCUAAGGUCAGUUAGUUGAUUACCUAGUUCUAAAUAGGAGCAUCUAGCUCUAAAUCUGAGCUUCUAGCAAGUCUUGUAUAGCUCCUAUAUCAUGCGCCGAUAAUUAUAGAUAAAUAUUGGUACUGUAAAUCUAAACGAUUUUAUACAACUUGAAAAAUUAAUUUCAAUGCUCACAGCAGCAUCUGCACAAUUUAGAAAAUUAAUUUUAAAGUACACCGUUGAUAUGGUGGCACGAGACCUAAGCCUAAGGUAACACAGGAGGGUUUCUUACACAAUAUAUAGUUGCCAAGAGACAAAAUUAAGUUAUCUUACAAUGACACAUCAACCGGCUAGCAUUGAGAUUAUCAAUGUUUUUCUUAGGAGGAGAUUACCAAUGUUAAUUAAAAAAACAAUGAACAUUUAAUUACAAACAAUACAUUUCAUGAUACAAAACCAUGCAUCUCGAGAAUGAAUCUUUCAUUAGCACGACGCGAGCUCAUUUAAUGCUUGCGUUGGGGGUCUCAUGUUUUUUCCUUUCAAGAUGGUGAAGAUGUCUGUUUUUCCUCGUAAUUUAUUUGUCUAAAACUUUUAAAAAUCAGAGAAAUCCAAACAAGGUUAUCACUCCCACAUUACCAUGGUCUUACUCUCAUCUAGUUCCCCUAGUGCAUAGGGUGCAUGAAAAGAAUAUGUAAAUAGAGGUUCUUUAUCUGGCACUCAGUUUCACUGUUUUUGGGCAAUUCCCAGUUACAGGCUUGAGAAUUUGACCGAGUUUAAAAUAGGACUGCUAGCAUGGUUAAAAAAGAGGAUAGAACACCAAAUUAUCAGGUGAAAUAGUCAGGUUCCAUUGCCCCUUGACAGAGUGCUACCAUCUUUUAAUUAUGUGUGUACUGUGUUCUAUUUUCCAUAGCAUAUUGGUGAGUACUGUGUUCUAUUUUGCGAAAUCAGUCUGAGACAGCAGACCUUGUUUUGCCACUGUUAUAAUUAUACUUCUCAAUUGGGAGUCGAUUUCUUGUCUGUAUUUUAUGCAGACUUUAUUAAAUUAUGUAGAAGAG